ensembl:rRNA 5S_rRNA 5S ribosomal RNA
AUCUAUAGCCAUACUACCCUCAACCCACCUGAUCUCAGAAGCUAAGCAGGGUCGGGCCUAGUUAGAGCUU